CCAUUAAGAUUACAGUUAAUAAUCCAGCAUAUGGUCAGAUUGAACAAACAGCAAGACCUGUACAGUCAGUACAAGGAUCAGUAUUGAACACAAAUGUUAAUCCAGCAUAUGAGACUGUUGUUGUUUAUGAAUAUGUAAU